rnacentral:lncRNA from 1 species
UUUCCUUUCAGACACAAAUCGUUUUGGCCAAAGCCCAGGAGAUCUAAAGCAGGUCCAUCUUUCCAGUGGUGCCAGGGAAGACUAGAGCUGGAGGAGAUGUGAUUCUGAAGACCUGCAACCAUUUUGUGUUCAAUGGCACUGAAAAGCAACUCCUCUGCCAUAAGGUGCUGUUUGAGGCUGAAAACUCUUUUCAGUGUGGCUGCAAACCGGUGAAACCAGCUGCAACCGAACAGGCAGGUUUCCCGUUCUCUCCUGCACUUUGGUCUGUGAGCCCUCACUGAACUCACAUGUUCAGCUCAGGAAGGAAAGCAAACCCAGACACCACACAAGCGAGCAAUGGAGGAAAUACUGCAGAGCUCAUAUUGGAUGAUACAUGCAACUGUUCUUCAAAGUACAGUGAAGAAAAGAGGUACUCGUAGCAAAGACCAUCUUGCACAAGGCAAUCACAUAACUCCCCACUCUUGCUGCUCCAGCUUGCCAAACUGCCCCUCUGUUUGUAGGCACGAGACACCAUGGUCAUCUCCUGUUACAAAGGGAAUAGCAGUUGCAAGAAUAACUUGCCAGUCAAACUGCACAGCUCCUCCAACCCACCACAGGUACCUUCAAAGUCUGAACUAUCAUCCUAAAACAAACACUGUAUUCUUAAAAUAGUUUAAAAUCUAUUUACACCUCAAAAAGUCUUAAAUAAUACAUUAGUCUGAGAUAGCUGCUAAUUUUUUGAAG